CAUUUUCUAGAGGGACGGCUUUAGGCGGAACACAACAGUAUCGUACCACAUGCAUCUGCAAGUUUUUUUCUAUUCAGAAGUUGUAAGAAAUUCCGCACGAAUAUUAUAGUUCAAGCACAAAGAAGGAAAUAAAGAGAUAUCAGCAAAUCCCGGGAGGAACCACUGGUGCAGCCAAUGAUGAACAUAUACACAAGAACUCUGAUGGGGGACCGGAGGAGGAGCUUCAAGGCGGCCUGGUACCAUAUCCACCCCUGGCUUGAAUAUUCCAAAAAAUCAGACUCUGUGUUUUGUUACGCCUGCAGGCAUUUCAGCCCUCCCAAAGUCUCAGAGACUGUAUUUGAUUCACAAUUGGGUUUUAACAACUGGAAGAAGGCAACUUACAAAGAGUGGGGAUUUGCAGUUCAUGCCAGGUCUGAGCGGCACAAACAAGCAAUGAUUACAUGGAGAGAAUAUCAGAAAGCUGUAAAAAGUAAUGCAACACUGGUAAAUGCCCUAAACAAGGAACACAACAAACAGGUUCAAGAAAAUCGGGACUAUAUUAAAACAAUAGAAGUACUACUACUUACAGCCACACAAAACAUUGCACAAAGAGGACACAAUGAGUCUGCAGAGUCAGAUAAUAAAGGUAACUUCAUGGCAAUCCUAGAAACAAUAGCUAAGCAUGACACAACUGUGAAAAAAAGGUUGACUUCCAUUCAUAAUGCAAAAUGUACAAGCAAAGGGAUUCAGAAUGAGGUUCUGAGUUGUUUGGCAGACAUGGUUCCAACAAAAAUGAUAUAAGAAGUGAAAGACAGUGAGGUCUUUAGCAUAAUGGCAGACAAAACAAAAGAUGUAAAAAAUAAAGGAGCAGAUAUCUCUGGUACUACUUCAGAGGAGCUGUCCAUGAGAGCUUUCUCCACUUUGAAUCGGCUGAUCGACUAGAUGCAGCAGGGCUUACUGACAAAAUCAUACACAUAUUAGAAAGUCAUGGUCUUGAAUACAAAAACAACCUAGUAGGCCAAGCAUAUGACGGUGCUUCCGUUAUGAGUGGCAAGCAUUCAGGCGUCCAGGCAGGCAUUAAAGAACAAGCAAAGCAUGCCUUUUACAUCCACUGCAGUGCACACUGUCUAAACUUAGUUUUAGUGGAUACAGUCAAAGCUGUCCCUGAGGUAGGACAGUUCUUCUCCUUACUAGAAAGACUUUACGUCUUCACAUCUGGGUCAUAUGUGCAUCAAAAAUGGCUUAGCAUACAAAAAGAGAUGUACCCAGGUGCACCUAGAGAGCUUCAGAGACUAAGUGACACUCGCUGGGCAUGUCGAUAGAUGGCUCUACAUACUAUUAUGGAUAGAUUACCUGCCAUUAAGCGAGUCCUGCAAGACAUAGUCCAAGAACACAAUGGUGACAGAUCUGUUGAGGCACGAGGUCUGUUGAGGCACGAGGUCUGCUUGCACAGAUAGAUUUACAAUUCAUUGUGUGCCUUGUUACACUCCAUACAGUGUUUGGAGAAGCAACAUUUCUAUAAGAUAUGUUACAGUCUUCAUCACUUGACCUGUCAAAGGCUGUUGAUUUAGUUGAAGCCUUAGUUCAAACUUUGAAUGACUACAGGGAUGAGUCAUUUUUUGAUGACCUAUGGAAUGAAGUGUUGAACACAGCUGAGCAAUGUGAUACUGCAAUACACCCCCCUGCAAAACGACCAAAAAAGCUAAGCUCUCAAUUUAAUGGAGACGGUGUACUCAGUACAGUGGGUCAGA